rnacentral:misc_RNA from 1 species
GUGAGUCAUCGAAUCUUUGAACGCACAUUGCGCCCUCUGGUAUUCCGGGGGGCAUGCCUGUUCGAGCGUCAUUACAACCCUCAAGCUCUGCUUGGUAUUGGAUGCAACAUUCUUCCCGGUUCAUCUCAAAAUCAGUGGCGGUGCCAUGCAGCCCUCAGCGCAGUAAAUUUCUCGCUUCAGGGUCUGGAUGUCCGCUAGCCAGAACACUAAAUAUCACAAGGUUGACCUCGGAUCAGGUAGGGAUACCCGCUGAACUUAAGCAUAUCAAUAAGCGGAGGA